GGGUUGUGAGGUUAAGCGACUAAGCGUACACGGUGGAUGCCCUGGCAGUCAGAGGCGAUGAAGGGCGUGCUAAUCUGCGAUAAGCGCCGGUAAGGUGAUAUGAACCGUUAUAACCGGCGAUACCCGAAUGGGGAAACCCAGUGUGACUCGUCACACUAUCAUUAACUGAAUCCAUAGGUUAAUGAGGCGAACCGGGGGAACUGAAACAUCUAAGUACCCCGAGGAAAAGAAAUCAACCGAGAUUCCCCCAGUAGCGGCGAGCGAACGGGGAGGAGCCCAGAGCCUGAAUCAGCAUGUGUGUUAGUGGAAGCGUCUGGAAAGGCGCGCGAUACAGGGUGACAGCCCCGUACACAAAAGCGCAUGUGCUGUGAGCUCGAUGAGUAGGGCGGGACACGUGGUAUCCUGUCUGAAUAUGGGGGGACCAUCCUCCAAGGCUAAAUACUCCUGACUGACCGAUAGUGAACCAGUACCGUGAGGGAAAGGCGAAAAGAACCCCGGCGAGGGGAGUGAAAAAGAACCUGAAACCGUGUACGUACAAGCAGUGGGAGCACCCUGUGUGACUGCGUACCUUUUGUAUAAUGGGUCAGCGACUUAUAUUCUGUAGCAAGGUUAACCGAAUAGGGGAGCCG
rnacentral:rRNA from 1 species